GUCCUUCUGGAAAGGAAUGUUGACAAAGACAAAGUAAUCAGCUUCGGCAGUGACGGUGCCUCUGUGUGAGGGUGAAGUAACUGGUGAACAAUUAAAGGUGGAAACAAAGGAAACUGAUGAAGACUUGGCUGGCAUAUUGACCUUCCAGAGGACUUAAGCUUUUAAGGAACAUGAGGCAGGCCUUCAUGUUCCCCUGAGAGAUGCUACAGUUGCCUCUACUGUGAGACAGAUCAUGGAGUGCCUUAUAAAGGAGUUGUUUAUCCAAUAAAAGAGGACACAUCUUUGUAAAUGCCUGAGUUCACUCUAAAACCAUCCAUUGAUGAGAAUGGCAUAUAAGGGCUGUCGAUGUGACAGAGGUGUGUUGGUCUUCCUCCUCCUCUCUCUGUUGAAUGGGAUCUACAGAUGAAACGCCAAACAAAACAAAGAACCAACAUUUUGCUUGUAUAUAUUUUUGUUGUUUUUGUUUGUUUACUUUAUAAAUAAAACAUGUACA